AUGAGGAUGUCGCUGCUGAGAUCCGCGUCGCAGCACCUGCGCCGCCGCCGCGGCUACUCGUCGACGCCCGCGCAGCCGGAGCGGAAGGUGGCCAUCCUCGGCGCGGCGGGCGGCAUCGGCCAGCCGCUGGCGCUGCUCAUGAAGCUCAACCCGCUCGUCUCCUCCCUCUCCCUCUACGACAUCGCCGCCACGCCCGGCGUCGCCGCCGACGUAUCCCACAUCAACACCCGCGCCCUGGUGAAGGGGUUCGUCGGGGACGACCAGCUCGGGGAGGCGCUGGAGGGCGCCGACCUCGUCAUCAUCCCCGCCGGGGUGCCCCGCAAGCCCGGCAUGACCAGGGACGACCUCUUCAAGAUCAACGCAGGGAUCGUCAAGGGCCUCUGCACCGCCAUCGCCACGCACUGCCCCAACGCUCUCGUCAAUAUGAUCAGCAACCCUGUCAACUCGACUGUCCCAAUUGCAGCUGAGGUGUUCAAGAAGGCUGGUACCUAUGAUGAGAAGAAGCUGUUUGGUGUGACCACUCUUGAUGUUGUUCGUGCUAAAACAUUCUAUGCUGGAAAGGCGAACGUGCCAGUUACUGGGGUGAAUGUUCCUGUUGUUGGUGGCCAUGCUGGAAUCACUAUCCUGCCACUGUUCUCACAGGCUACUCCUGCAAGUAAUGCAUUGUCCCAUGAGGACCUUGUCGCCCUCACGAAGAGGACACAAGAUGGUGGCACGGAAGUUGUUGAAGCGAAGGCUGGAAAGGGCUCAGCAACAUUGUCGAUGGCAUAUGCUGGUGCAGUUUUUGGAGAUGCAUGCUUGAAGGGGCUCAACGGUGUUCCUGACAUCGUAGAGUGCUCUUUUGUCCAAUCAACUGUAACAGAGCUGCCAUUCUUUGCCUCCAAGGUGAGGCUGGGCAAGAGCGGCGUGGAGGAAGUGAUGGGGCUGGGCGAGCUGUCGGCGUUGGAGAAGGAGGGGCUGGAGAGCCUCAAGGGCGAGCUGCUGUCUUCCAUCGAGAAGGGCGUCAAGUUCGCGCAGGAAAGCUAG
rnacentral:rRNA from 1 species